UACAAUGUGAAUAUAUGACAUAUAGCAGUAAUGUCUUGUUAAAAAGUCAUUUAAAGAUGCAUUUUCAACAUUAGUAUCAUUGUUGCAAAUGCGGCUCCAUGGC